GCCGGUGUAGCUCAGUUGGUAGAGCAGUCGACUUGUAAUCGACAGGUCGGGGGUUCAAGUCCCUUCACCGGCUCCA
rnacentral:tRNA from 1 species